AGCUAGUUAUCAAGCUCGGUUACUUGAUCUAGCUUACAUCAUGCCAUAAUCCUGUUCACAACUGUAGGGCCCUUUGAUAAAUGUUUCAAAAUUUCCUGAAAUGAGCUAAUUGGAGUCAGAUUUGCAUUUAGAGUUCACGAGAUUUCUGCAUUAUAAAAUUUAAGCGUUGAAGAUUCUAUUGUCAUUGCUACUUUAUUUUCUCCUAAGUUCCUAAUGCCUUUCUCUACCCUUUUAAACUUAUUCUUCCCACCUGGAUUUCAACUCUACUAUAGUUGCCAGUUGAGCAUGGCUAUAGAUUUGUUGUGAACGUUUACUAGUAACUAUAUCCCUUGUUGCAUGCUUUUAUGUGUUUUGUUUGUUAUGUUGUUAUCUGUCCUGAGCCGAGGGUCUAUCGGAAACAAGACUUUCUACUUCGUCUGAGGUAGUGGAAUGGACUGCGUACACUUUACCCUCCUCAGACCCCACUUGAUGGGAAUACACUGAGUUGUUUUAUCUCGGGAUGGUAAAAUUGUUAAACUCCAGCCUACAAAUCGCGUUGCUGAAAAUCAAUGGGCAGCAAACCCUUUAGUGAAAGAGCUCUAUGGAAAGAAAAAACUUGUUCCGGGCUUGAUAGAACAAGGUCUCAAGAUGAUAACCCGCCCCAAUGAUGUUGUACUGGAAUUAUUGAUGCCAUCAAAUCCCCAAAGUUCAUUUGCUUUUGUAAGACCAGUUACUGAAAAUUGUAGAUGAACAUUUUUGUGUCGCCACAUUCAAUAUUUGUACAAUAGUUACAGUGAUGGGUAAGAUUUUUCCCAGGUUUGAAGGAUUAAGAGAAGUUAACGUUUCUUCUA